rnacentral:tRNA from 1 species
CGUGGUUUCGUUAGGCAGGUGGAACGGUCUUGAAAACCGUCGUGGCAGCGAUGUCACCGUGGGUUCAAACCCACACCCACUGC